GCCAAGAAGCGGGGGCGGUAGUUCGCGCCACGCUGUGAUCGCGGCGGCUGUCCAGGCGGCCGUGUAUGUGCCGCCUACUUCCGCGAUCGGCGGCGCACACUCUCGACCCUAUUGCGUGCGCGGACUGCAGCGGCUACUGCAAGCACGACCCAGAGGC
rnacentral:sRNA from 1 species